rfam:Streptosporangium subroseum strain CGMCC 4.2132 genome assembly, contig: Ga0079903_1013
GUCAACGACCCCGGCCUGAAGGUCAGGGCUUGAGGUGCCGUACCGCGCACCGAUGGCCUCGCGUUGACCAGCCCGAGUCGAUCAUCGUGGAGGAGGUGCAUUCGAUUGACUACGUUUCUUGUGAGUGAGAAGACCCACCAAGCCGUGCUUCCUCAGCGGCUUGCUCUGGAAUCGGUGGGAGCAGACAACCCCGGGGGUGGGGACGAAACGGCUCACCGACUCCCGGCCAUGCCGGGCACUGGCAUGGAACAUGGGCGAGGGGAGAUCGGU